AACGAACGCUGGCGGCAUGCCUAACACAUGCAAGUCGAACGAUCCCUUCGGGGAUAGUGGCGCACGGGUGCGUAACGCGUGGGAACCUGCCCUUAGGUUCGGAAUAACUCAGAGAAAUUUGAGCUAAUACCGGAUAAUGUCUUCGGACCAAAGAUUUAUCGCCUUUGGAUGGGCCCGCGUUGGAUUAGCUAGUUGGUGGGGUAAAGGCCUACCAAGGCGACGAUCCAUAGCUGGUCUGAGAGGAUGAUCAGCCACACUGGGACUGAGACACGGCCCAGACUCCUACGGGAGGCAGCAGUGGGGAAUAUUGGACAAUGGGCGAAAGCCUGAGCCAGCAAUGCCGCGUGAGUGAUGAAGGCCUUAGGGUUGUAAAGCUCUUUUACCCGGGAUGAUAAUGACAGUACCGGGAGAAUAAGCCCCGGCUAACUCCGUG
rnacentral:rRNA from 1 species